AGCUUUGCGCAGUGGCAGUAUUGUAGCCAAUGAGGUUUAUCCGAGGCGCGAUUAUUGUUAAUUAAAAUUCGUUCUGGAGAUUUCCUCCAACUCUCCCUGAGACUGUCAUGUGUUACAAGGGACGGAGCGCUCACCAAAGUGUCUGAAAGCAGGUGUGGAGGCUCUAUAUAAUGAAACAAAUGGAAAAUAUUGAUUUUGUUUCUUUUCG
rnacentral:snRNA from 1 species